GGGGAUUUAGCUCAGCGGUAGAGCGUUUGCCUAGCAAGCGAAAGGCCCUGGGUUCGAUCCCCAGCUCCG
rnacentral:tRNA from 1 species